rnacentral:rRNA from 1 species
ACUCAAAGGAAUUGACGGGGACCCGCACAAGCGGUGGAGGAUGUGGUUUAAUUCGACGCAACGCGAAGAACCUUACCAAGGCUUGACAUCCACAGAAUCUUGUAGAAAUACAGGAGUGUCCGAAAGGAAACUGUGAGACAGGUGGUGCAUGGCUGUCGUCAGCUCGUGUCGUGAGAUGUUGGGUUAAGUCCCGCAACGAGCGCAACCCUCGAUGCUAGUUACCAUCAUUAAGUUGGGGACUCUAGCGUGACUGCCGGUGAUAAGCCGGAGGAAGGUGAGGACGACGUCAAGUCAUCAUGCCCCUUACGCCUUGGGCUACACACGUCCUACAAUGGUAUAGACAAAGGGCUGCAAGCCAGCGAUGGUGAGCGAAUCCCAUAAACUAUAUCUCAGUUCGGAUUGCAGGCUGCAACUCGCCUGCAUGAAGUUGGAAUCGCUAGUAACCGUAGAUCAGCACGCUACGGUGAAUACGUUCCCGGGUCUUGUACACACCGCCCGU